UAACAGAAAGCGAUUGGAUGAAUAAAACGACAAAUAUAAGUUGUUUAUAAAUGGCGGCGUAGUUGUUACCGUUAAUACUGUUAAAAUACUCGGUGGUUAAAACACAGUAGCACACGGUAUUGCACCAAUUAUUGAUUCUUACGUAAGAAGACACUACUCAAUAAUUGUUACAGUAAUUACUGUUUAAUAUUUUAUUUUAU
rnacentral:lncRNA from 1 species